rnacentral:miRNA from 1 species
GCAGACACAUUCCAGCCAAUCAGCUGCAGACCCUCCCUCCCAGACCCUCCCACCUCCUGGACAGCAUCCAUUUUACAUUCAUUGUGAAGCUGCAUUCUUAGUGAGCUGUCCAGGAGAUGGGAGGGUCUGGGAGGGAGGGUCUGCUGCUGAUUGGCUGGAAUGUGUCU